rnacentral:rRNA from 1 species
UCUUCCUCAAUGGACGAAAGUCGGACGGAGCAACGCCGCGUGAGUGAUGAAGGGUNUCNNAUCGUNANACUCUGGUGUUAGGGNNNNNCAAGUAUCGGAGUAACUACCGGUACCUUGACGGUACCUAACCAGAAAGCCACGGCUAACUACGUGCCAGCAGCCGCGGUAAUACGUAGGUGGCAAGCGUUGUCCGGAAUUAUUGGGCGUAAAGCGCGCGCAGGAGGUCUUUUAAGUCUGAUGUGAAAGCCCCCGGCUCAACCGGGGAGGGUCAUUGGAAACUGGGAGACUUGAGUGCAGAAGAGAAGAGUGGAAUUCCACGUGUAGCGGUGAAAUGCGUAGAGAUGUGGAGGAACACCAGUGGCGAAGGCGACUCUUUGGUCUGUAACUGACGCUGAGGCGCGAAAGCGUGGGGAGCAAACAG